GAUGAACGCUAGCUACAGGCUUAACACAUGCAAGUCGAGGGACCGGCGCACGGGUGAGUAAAACGUAUCCAACCUGCCCUUUACUCGGGGAUAGCCUUUCGAAAGAAAGAUUAAUACUCGCUAUAAAGGAUGGGGAUGCGUUCCAUUAGGUUGUUGGUAAGGUAACGGCCCACCAAGCCUUCGCUGGAUAGGGGUGCUGAGAGGAAGGUCCACAACAUUGGAACGUAGGCACGGUCCAAACUCGUACGGGAGGCAGCAGUGAGUAAUAUUGGGCAAUGGGCGUUAGCCUGAACCAGCCAAGUAGCGUGAAGGAGGAAGGCUUAUGGGUCGUAAACUUCUUUUAUAUAAGAAUAUGUAUUAUAUGAAUAAGGAUCGGCUAACUCCGUGCCAGCAGCCGCGGUAAUUC
rnacentral:rRNA from 1 species